UGACAUCAUUACAUACACACCAGCCACAUC
rnacentral:piRNA from 1 species